rnacentral:rRNA from 1 species
AUUGAACGCUGGCGGCAGGCCUACCACAUGCAAGUCGAGCGAGCGGCGGACGGGUGAGUAAUGUCUGGGAAACUGCCUGCUGGAGGGGGAUAACUACUGGAAACGGUAGCUAAUACCGCAUACCAUCAGAUGUGCCCAGAGGGGAUUCGCUAGUGGGUGGGGUAAUGGCUCACCUAGGCGACGAUCCCUAGCUGGUCUGAGAGGAUGACCAGCACAACUGGAACUGAGACACGGCCCAGACUCCUACGGGAGGCAGCAUUGGGGAAUAUUGCACAAUGGGCGAAAGCCUGAUGCAGCCAUGCCGCGUGAGUGAAGAAGGCCUUCGGGUUGUAAAGCACUUUCAUCGGGGAGGCGUUACCCGCAGAAGAAGCACCGGCUAACUCCGUGCCAGCAGCCGCGGUAAUUC